rnacentral:rRNA from 1 species
UACGGGGGGGAGCAAGCGUUGUUCGGAUUUACUGGGCGUAAAGGGCGCGUAGGCGGCGUGACAAGUCACUUGUGAAAUCUCCGGGCUUAACUCGGAACGGUCAAGUGAUACUGUCGUGCUAGAGUACAGAAGGGGCAACUGGAAUUCUCGGUGUAGCGGUGAAAUGCGUAGAUAUCGAGAGGAACACCUGCGGCGAAGGCGGGUUGCUGGGCUGACACUGACGCUGAUGCGCGAAAGCUAGGGGAGCGAACGGG